GGGUCUGUAGCUCAGGUGGUUAGAGCGCACCCCUGAU
rnacentral:tRNA from 2 species